UUUGUAUUACGUGCGGAAAUUGUUACCAUUUUUGAGCCGAAAAUGGUAUAACAAUUUCCGCACGUAAUACAAA